rnacentral:lncRNA from 1 species
GGAGGGAGGCAGGGGAGGGAGGCAGGCUGGCCUUUUCUCCUAACGCUACUCAAGGUUGAGAGUCACUUCCACUCCGUGUGAGCCCCUGGAUGUGGGGGUGGGGCGUGAGGGUCCCCUCCUGAGGCCUUAGGCCCCUUGCAGAGGGCUUAGGCCCCGCCCAGGGCCUUCCUGGUGGCGUUGUCCUUGAUGACGCUGCCAGGCCCACCGCUGGCCGCCAAGGCCCCAGAGGGAGCCGGCAGCCUGUGCCUGUCUCCCCCCUUCUCUCCUCUGGAUGGAAAACGGGAGGUCGUAGAUGUGGCAGGUUCAUUGACUAGAAAAUACAGUCCAAACCCGCAGAUGAAACUCAGCCGACUGGCACAAUAACAUUUUUUAUUGCUUUGCUCUUCAUGGGUGAGACGGAGGUCCUAGUGUCUGUGGGACGUGACUCCCAGGGUCCCUCCACCGUGGCAUUGCUGGUGGCCCUGCUGGCCUUGGCCUGACCCAGUGUGGUUCUGAAAAGUCCCCCUGGGGUGGGUCAGCUCUGCAGGGUCCAACUAAGCUGGAGGGCAGGAUGGGAAACAGAGGCCCAGAGAGCUUCUGUCCCUUAUCAGAGGUCAUAGUGGGGCUUCUGGGGCUGAGGUUUUAUGGGGUGGGUACUGGGGAUGGAACUCGGGGGCACUCGGCCCCGGAGCCGCACCCCGAGUCCUGUUUUGUAUUUUAUUGAGAGUCAGGGUCUCACUGGGUUGGUUAGCGCCUCUCCGUUGCUGAGGCUGGCUUCAACUGGCGAUCCUCCUGCCUCAGCCUCUGGAGCCACGGGGAUGGGGUGUGAGUUUUUAAGGAUUCUGCAAAAAAUAUCUGAGACCUUAAAAUAUUUAUUGUCCACCAAAUGGGAAAAGAAAACUGCAAAGUUUAGAUUAAUAAAUGUCGACUGUCUACAAAAUGGACACGAGGCCAGCUGCACUGAUCACUGUGUUUGGUGUAUACUUGUGUCACCGCGUGUGACAGCAACUCCUCAGCUUCACACGGUCGGUGUUCCCGAGCAGGCAGAGCCCAGGAGAGGGCGCGGCCAGCUACCCGUUAACCAGCACCUGGAGCCGGACAAUUCCAAGAGCACGAUGUAGAAGUGUUCUAUUUAAUGGGGCCGUUGGCCCGUCUGUGCUGAACCAGGAACCCUGACCCUCCUGCGCCACGGGCCUGGCCGGUCCACCUGCCUGGGCGCUGGUGAGGUUCACCCAGGGCCAGCCCAGCACCUUCACCACGGCGAGGAGGAGGCGGGCGAGAGCCUGGAGGUCCCUGCACAGCCUCCUGCCCCUGCCUUCGCAGCCAGGGCUUCACAGCCGGCUGCCACCUGCCACCAAGGAAAGUCUCCUGGAGUCAGACGCGGACUGCAAGCCAGUGACCUGGGCCUGUCGGAUCAAAGCCACAGGCUUGACCGGGGGACAGCAAGGUCCUGGGAGAAGGCUACUGGGCUGCUACAUUUGGCCUGGCCCUGGCUGGACAGAAGUGUCUUGAAACCACCCCAAAAAAGAAUGCCCAUGACUGGACCCGUGGCCUCUCCCCAGUUCAGCAUGAGGUCUUUGGUUCUGCCGUGGGACGCUGUGUGACCUUGGGUGAGGCACUUUUCCUCUCUGAGCCUCAGUUCUUGACAACUGAAAGGAAUGGAUCAUCCCCUUGAAUUGUGGGAGCAAGAAGAAGUCUGUAAGCGAGAUCUCCCAUUGUAUGGCUGAAAAGAAUGAGGUGCCGAGAGAAGGCAUCUGCCCCGGGAGAGGGAGGCCGAGCCCCGCUCGAUUCCCACCGUGCAACCCCACUUCCCAUUUCCGUUUCUCCUCCCCUCACCUCUCUCCAGGGCAGUACCCAAAUCCCCCUCAGGAGGGGUCUCUGCUGCCCCUCCCCCAGCCCUGAGUGACUGCUGGGCGUGGAGCAGAACCUGGGCCUGAGACCCCCACCCAGGAGCGGGCUGUGACUGGCCAGGUGCUCACCUGCUCUGAUUCUGCAACACGGAACAGAGGCAGCGGUCCCCUGGCCGCCAUACCCAGGGCCUGGGUCUCCUCUGGAGAAGUCACCCUCCUGCCUGUCCAGGAGAGAGUCAUGAAACCCGUGGUUUGUCACUAAGCACCACUCCACCCGGAGAGAGCCCGCAGGGCCCGGUCCUCCCCAGGGCUGUGGAAGGGGCACUGCCCGGUGCCAGGAUCUACAGACGCCCCCAGCAGGACCCAGGUGGGCCCAGGCUCCAGGUGGCACCUGCUGCCCUUGGUAGCUGGCCCUAGUCUGGUCCCUUCUGUCCCCACACCUGUCUUCAGUCCCCUCCCCAGUGCUGGGAUUGGCUGGAUGUCACAGGAUCUCAGGGCCGAGGCUGUCCUGGGGGCCUGUCCUGGGCAGGCGGUGGAGGGAGCCACAGGGUGUCUCCACGUUGGCUGCUGCCUCUGCAGAAGGUUCCGGUCAGGGCUGAGCCCAGGGUCCCCUGAGUGGCUGAGGGAAGGACCUGGGGAUCAUCACAGGGAGGCCUGAUGUCCCCGCCUCCGUCUCUGCUUCAGGCCAGAGCGAGUUCCAAGGUGCCCGUGGGUGCGGCUGUUUCCCAGGGAGCCCCCAGUGGCCCGGGCCAGCUCCCCUCGCCUGGGCCCAGUCCAGCCUGGCAUCUCCACUGGACACCCCCAGGCCCCAGGCUCCCACGGUGGAUCAGGACUCCUGACCUCUCCCACGCACCCCCUCCAAAGGUCUGCUUGACCCCAGUGUCCCCAGCCGUGGUGCUGAAGGGGGACGUAGGCGGGCCCCGAGGUGUCAGGUGGCACUCAGUUAACGCAGGGAGGCAGCGGGGUUCUGGGGUGGACGGGGCUGAGUCGGGGUGUGUCUAGAAGUCGGGGAGCCGCCUCUGAGAACUGGUGAUGGGACAGAGCUGGUUUGUAAGGAGCCGGAGGACGAGGACUUGGCCUUGAGGGGACUUCCUUGGACUCCCCUGUGAGGGUUAACUGAGUGUCAUGCAGGGUGGGCUGUGGCUGGAGGAGGUGGGAUGGGCCAGGCUGGGGGUAUGUGUUUGGAGCCUGGAGGCUCUGCUUCCUGGUCACCAGGAUGUGAGCCUGGAGCCCCGAGGAAGGGAGCCGCCCGCUGUGACGAAGACUCUGGAACUGUGAGCCCCUGAAUAAACCUUGUCUCCUCUGCAGUCGUGCUGGUCGG